AUUUGCAGUGGCUGCAGAGCCAUGAUAUAGAGAAGCCACAAAGGACUACUUCACUCUUACAUCUGAUGGACAAAUGUGAAGUGGGUAGUUCAGCUCGCACCGUGCUUGCUUAGCUGCAUGAGUUUAGCCUGCACCGUUUUUAAACCUGCACCACCGUUUCCCCCAUCUCUCCACCACAACACAACAAAACCUGAACGAAACCAACCAGACAGGGCUGGCAGCUCAUGGGAGCCAAAGACUGUGCUUGUCAGGUAACCGAGGAAGGACGCCAUGGUGGCGGUCCAGACGUCACACCAGUUCAUUCAUGACAUGGUUCCAAGCGACGCUUCACCUCACCAUCACGCCAAGUCUACAAGUCUAUCACAUCAGAUGGACUAAGAUGACUUCUUCAGCCAUCACCACCACCAGUGUCAGGACUCCAUGGGGGGAUAGAUCUCUCCGCCACUCAGGGCAGACACCCUUUGAUCACGCUAUGUCCUUGUAGAGUUCAAAUGCCAAAAAGACUGACAAUAAUUCAGUAUCACAUCUAUGUUAAUAAAUGAUUCAUCAUCGCAUGUAAAAUAAAAUGUUAUCUUUAAUCAG